rnacentral:rRNA from 1 species
UACCUUUUGCAUCAUGAUUUAGCCAGAAAAUCUCAAGCAAAGAGCACUUUAGUUUGAUUCCCCGAAACUACGUGAGCUACUCCAAGACAGCCUAACAUAGGGCAAACCCGUCUCUGUGGCAAAAGAGUGGGAAGAGCUUUGAGUAGAGGUGACAGACCUACCGAACCUAGUUAUAGCUGGUUGCCUGAGAAAUGAAUAGAAGUUCAGCCUAUCGGAUUCUUCCCUCACCUUUAUAUUUUUAACAACAACCAAAAGAAACCGAAAGAGUUAGUCAAAGGGGGUACAGCCCCUUUGACACAAGACACAACUUUUCCAGGAGGGUAAAGAUCAUACUCAAACACCAAGGUAAGAUGUUUUGGUGGGCCUAAAAGCAGCCACCCCUACAGAAUGCGUUAAAGCUCAAACAUACCUACCACCCAUAAUCCUGACAACCCUAUCUUAACCCCCUAACCCUACCAGGCCAUCCCAUGCAUACAUGGGAGUGACCAUGCUAAUAUGAGUAAUAAGAGAGCAUUAGCCUCUCUCCCUGCACAAGU